UACGGAGAGAGCAAGCAUUACUCAUCUUAACUGGGUAUAAAGGGCGCGUAGGCGGCUCAUGAAGGCUGUGGUGAAAGUCCGGGGCUCAACCUCGGAUCGGCCGUGGCGACUCGUGGGCUGGAGCACUGUAGAGGCGGGUGGAAUUCCGGGUGUAGCGGUGGAAUGCGUAGAGAUCCGGAAGAACACCAGUGGCGAAGGCGGCUCUCUGGGACGGUACUGACGCUGAGACGCGAAAGCGUGGGGAGCGAACAGG
rnacentral:rRNA from 1 species